UACAGAGGUCUCAAGCGUUGUUCGGAUUCAUUGGGCGUACAGGGUGCGUAGGCGGCUCGGUAAGUCGGAUGUGAAAUCUCGGAGCUUAACUCCGAAACUGCAUUCGAUACUGCCGUGCUUGAGGACUGGAGAGGAGACUGGAAUUUACGGUGUAGCGGUGAAAUGCGUAGAUAUCGUAAGGAAGACCAGUGGCGAAGGCGGGUCUCUGGACAGUUCCUGACGCUGAGGCACGAAGGCCAGGGGAGCAAACGGG
rnacentral:rRNA from 1 species